rnacentral:rRNA from 1 species
ACGGGAGGCAGCAGUGGGGAAUAUUGGACAAUGGGGGAAACCCUGAUCCAGCGACGCCGCGUGAGUGAAGAAGUAUUUCGGUAUGUAAAGCUCUAUCAGCAAGAAAGAAAAUGACGGUACUUGACUAAGAAGCCCCGGCUAACUACGUGCCAGCAGCCGCGGUAAUACAUAGGGGGCAAGCGUUAUCCGGAUUUACUGGGUGUAAAGGGAGCGUAGACGGCGAUGCAAGUCUGAAGUGAAAGCCCGGGGCUCAACCCCGGAACUGCUUUGGAAACUGUAUAGCUAGAGUGCAGGAGAGGUAUGUGGAAUUCCUAGUGUAGCGGUGAAAUGCGUAGAUAUUAGGAGGAACACCAGUGGCGAAGGCGACAUACUGGACUGUAACUGACGUUGAGGCUCGAAGGCGUGGGGAGCAAACAGGAUUAGAUACCCUGGUA